rnacentral:ncRNA from 2 species
GAACCCGGUGCGAGUCCGGGACGGUCCCGCCACUGUGAGCGGCCAGGAGG